GACGAACGCUGGCGGCGUGCUUAACACAUGCAAGUCGAGCGGUAAGGCCCUUUCGGGGUACACGAGCGGCGAACGGGUGAGUAACACGUGGGUGACCUGCCCUCAGCUCUGGGAUAAGCCUGGGAAACCGGGUCUAAUACUGGAUAUGACUCCAUGACGCAUGUUGUGGGGUGGAAAGCCUUGUGCGGCUGGGGAUGGGCCCGCGGCCUAUCAGCUUGUUGGUGGGGUGAUGGCCUACCAAGGCGACGACGGUAGCCGGCCUGAGAGGGCGACCGGCCACACUGGGACUGAGACACGGCCCAGACUCCUACGGGAGGCAGCAGUGGGGAAUCUUGCGCAAUGGGCGAAAGCCUGACGCAGCGACGCCGCGUGAGGGAUGACGGCCU
rnacentral:rRNA from 1 species